GUAAAGCUCUUUCGCCUGUGAUGAUAAUGACAGUAGCAGGUAAAGAAACCCCGGCUAACUCCGUGCCAGCAGCCGCGGUAAUACGGAGGGGGUUAGCGUUGUUCGGAAUUACUGGGCGUAAAGCGCGCGUAGGCGGACUAUUAAGUCAGGGGUGAAAUCCCGGGGCUCAACCCCGGAACUGCCCUUGAUACUGGUAGUCUUGAGUUCGAGAGAGGUGAGUGGAAUUCCGAGUGUAGAGGUGAAAUUCGUAGAUAUUCGGAGGAACACCAGUGGCGAAG
rnacentral:rRNA from 1 species